rnacentral:rRNA from 1 species
AGUCAGCAUGCCCAGGGGACGUGGAUAACCUCGGGAAACUGAGGAUAAACCGCGAUAAGUCACUACUUCUGGAAUGGGUAAUGACUUAAAUCUAUAUGGCCCCUGGAUUGGACUGCGGCCGAUCAGGCUGUUGGUGAGGUAAUGGCCCACCAAACCUGUAACCGGUACGGGCUCUGAGAGGAGGAGCCCGGAGAUGGGCACUGAGACAAGGGCCCAGGCCCUAUGGGGCGCAGCAGGCGCGAAACCUCUGCAAUAGGCGAAAGCCUGACAGGGUUACUCUGAGUGAUUUCCGUUAAGGAGAUCUUUUGGCACCUCUAAAAAUGGUGCAGAAUAAGGGGUGGGCAAGUCUGGUGUCAGCCGCCGCGGUAAUACCAGCACCCCGAGUGGUCGGGACGUUUAUUGGGCCUAAAGCAUCCGUAGCCGGUUCUGCAAGUCUUCCGUUAAAUCCACCUGCUUAACAGAUGGGCCGCGGAAGAUACUAUAGAGCUAGGAGGCGGGAGAGGCAAGCGGUACUCGAUGGGUAGGGGUAAAAUCCGUUGAUCCAUUGAAGACCACCAGUGGCGAAGGCGGCUUGCCAGAACGCGCUCGACGGUGAGGGAUGAAAGCUGGGGGAGCAAACCGGAUUAGAUACCCGGGUAGUCCCAGCUGUAAACGAUGCAGACUCGGUGAUGAAUUGGCUUCAUGCCAAUUCAGUGCCGCAGGGAAGCCGUUAAGUUUGCCGCCUGGGGAGUACGGUCGCAAGACUGAAACUUAAAGGAAUUGGCGGGGGAGCUCCACAAGGGGUGAAGCCUGCGGUUCAAUUGGAGUCAACGCCGGAAAUCUUACCGGGGGCGACAGCAGAAUGAAGGUCAAGCUGAAGACUUUACCAGACAAGCUGAGAGGAGGUGCAUGGCCGUCGCCAGCUCGUGCCGUGAGGUGUCCUGUUAAGUCAGGUAACGAGCGAGACCCCUGCCUCUAGUUGCUACCAUUAUUCUCAGGAGUAGUGGAGCUAAUUGGAGGGACUGCCGUCGCUGAGACGGAGGAAGGAGGGGGCUACGGCAGGUCAGUAUGCCCCGAAACCCUCGGGCCACACGCGGGCUGCAAUGGUAAGGACAAUGAGUAUCGAUUCCGAAAGGAGGAGGCAAUCUCUAAACCUUACCACAGUUAUGAUUGAGGGCUGAAACUCGCCCUCAUGAAUAUGGAAUCCCUAGUAACCGCGUGUCACUAUCGCGCGGUGAAUACGUCCCUGCUCCUUGCACACACCGCCCGUCGCUUCAUCGAAGUUGGUUCUUGGCGAGGUGAUGCCUAAUUGGUACUAUCGAACCUGGGGUCAGCAACGAGGGAGAAGUCGUAACAAGGUGGCCGUAGGGGAACCUGCGGCCGGAUCACCUCCUUAGUUAUCAUAUCUUGCAACACAGAACAAAAUAGACAAAAAGAGAAAAAUGGGUGAAGAAGAAGGAGAACUAUAACUCUGUUAUUCGUGUACUUAAAAAAACAAACAUGAAGAUAGUCAGUUUAAUAACUCUAAUACAAUUGUUGGUAUAUAUAAUUGACAAAUUUUGCAGUGGUAUCUGUGCAAAUGUUAUAAUGAAUAUUUAUCGGUGUCUGUCUGGUCUUCAUGCGUACCAAAUAGUCAGUACACUUAAACUCAUAGCAAAAAGCAAACUAAAAACAGAAUAAGAACACGGAUGCAAUUCUUUGUCACGAAACUGAGGAGUAGGAAAGACAAAGGAUGAAGGUGACGUAGUAGGCAGCACCCUAUAGAUAAACAAAAAAAGUGGUGUUGUUUGCGAUGAUGUCGUGUAUAGGAUCAAAACUCCAUCAUAGUAUUACUAUUAGUUAAUAGAAAACACAACAAAAUAAAUAUGAGCAAAUGUUUGCAAGUCAAACAAAUGUUUAUGUGCUAACACAUAACAAUAUUGAAAGUGUAACAAUAGCAAUAACAACAACCAGGAAAAGAAAACAGCUAAAACAUUCGCGUAAUAACAAAAUAACCAAAUGAUGAGGGAUAUAGGACUGGAAUAAAAUGCAGGCUGAAUUGUUGUCAUUGUCUUUGUAUUUUCAUGUUUGUGUAAUGUAUGCGAUUAUUGUAGUUGUAGUAUUAGUUGUAUUUGUGGUAGUAAUCGUGGUUGUAAGCAGUAAAAAAACAGCAAACGAGUAUAGUAAUAGUGUCAUACGUGUAAAACAACCGUUGAAGACAUGUUAAUUAUUAUCACUGGAUUGUGGAACUCGAUCUAUCGAGUGACUAGAUUAAGAUCAUGAUAAGGAAAUGAUCAUCAAAGGUCAAAUUAAAAAAUAAUCUCUAUCCAUUAAAAUUGGAAACUGGAACUGGUGCAAAGACGCCGGUUGGUGGAUG